AAAUUGAAGAGUUUGAUCAUGGCUCAGAUUGAACGCUGGCGGCAGGCCUAACACAUGCAAGUCGAACGGUAACAGGAAGCAGCUUGCUGCUUUGCUGACGAGUGGCGGACGGGUGAGUAAUGUCUGGGAAACUGCCUGAUGGAGGGGGAUAACUACUGGAAACGGUGGCUAAUACCGCAUAACGUCGCAAGACCAAAGAGGGGGACCUUCGGGCCUCUUGCCAUCAGAUGUGCCCAGAUGGGAUUAGCUUGUUGGUGAGGUAACGGCUCACCAAGGCGACGAUCCCUAGCUGGUCUGAGAGGAUGACCAGCCACACUGGAACUGAGACACGGUCCAGACUCCUACGGGAGGCAGCAGUGGGGAAUAUUGCACAAUGGGCGCAAGCCUGAUGCAGCCAUGCCGCGUGUAUGAAGAAGGCCUUCGGGUUGUAAAGUACUUUCAGCGGGGAGGAAGGUGUUGUGGUUAAUAACCGCAGCAAUUGACGUUACCCGCAGAAGAAGCACCGGCUAACUCCGUGCCAGCAGCCGCGGUAAUACGGAGGGUGCAAGCGUUAAUCGGAAUUACUGGGCGUAAAGCGCACGCAGGCGGUCUGUCAAGUCGGAUGUGAAAUCCCCGGGCUCAACCUGGGAACUGCAUUCGAAACUGGCAGGCUUGAGUCUUGUAGAGGGGGGUAGAAUUCCAGGUGUAGCGGUGAAAUGCGUAGAGAUCUGGAGGAAUACCGGUGGCGAAGGCGGCCCCCUGGACAAAGACUGACGCUCAGGUGCGAAAGCGUGGGGAGCAAACAGGAUUAGAUACCCUGGUAGUCCACGCCGUAAACGAUGUCUACUUGGAGGUUGUGCCCUUGAGGCGUGGCUUCCGGAGCUAACGCGUUAAGUAGACCGCCUGGGGAGUACGGCCGCAAGGUUAAAACUCAAAUGAAUUGACGGGGGCCCGCACAAGCGGUGGAGCAUGUGGUUUAAUUCGAUGCAACGCGAAGAACCUUACCUGGUCUUGACAUCCACGGAAGUUUUCAGAGAUGGAUUGUGCCUUCGGGAACCGUGAGACAGGUGCUGCAUGGCUGUCGUCAGCUCGUGUUGUGAAAUGUUGGGUUAAGUCCCGCAACGAGCGCAACCCUUAUCCUUUGUUGCCAGCGGUCCGGCCGGGAACUCAAAGGAGACUGCCAGUGAUAAACUGGAGGAAGGUGGGGAUGACGUCAAGUCAUCAUGGCCCUUACGACCAGGGCUACACACGUGCUACAAUGGCGCAUACAAAGAGAAGCGACCUCGCGAGAGCAAGCGGACCUCAUAAAGUGCGUCGUAGUCCGGAUUGGAGUCUGCAACUCGACUCCAUGAAGUCGGAAUCGCUAGUAAUCGUGGAUCAGAAUGCCACGGUGAAUACGUUCCCGGGCCUUGUACACACCGCCCGUCACACCAUGGGAGUGGGUUGCAAAAGAAGUAGGUAGCUUAACCUUCGGGAGGGCGCUUACCACUUUGUGAUUCAUGACUGGGGUGAAGUCGUAACAAGGUAACCGUAGGGGAACCUGCGGUUGGAUCACCUCCUUA
rnacentral:rRNA from 1 species